UACGACUACAUAUCAGGCAUAUCAAUAAGCGGAGGAAAAGAAACUAACUAGGAUUCCCUCAGUAACGGCGAGUGAAGCGGGAAGAGCUCAAAUUUGAAAUCUUCAAGGUUUUACCUUGACGAAUUGUAGUUUAAAGAAGUGUUUUCUGUUGGAGUUUUGGUAAAAGUUCUUUGGAAUAGGACAUCAUAGAGGGUGAGAAUCCCGUAUUUGACCAUUAUUUCCAGCUUUGUGAUACACUUUCAAAGAGUCGGAUUGUUUGGGAAUGCAGUCCAAAAUGGGUGGUAAAUUUCAUCUAAAGCUAAAUAUUGGCGAGAGACCGAUAGCGAACAAGUACCGUGAGGGAAAGAUGAAAAGAACUUUGAAAAGAGAGUUAAACAGUACGUGAAAUUGUCAAAAGGGAAGCGUUUGACACCAGUGUUGUUUCUACGAAAAUCAAUUUAUGAUGGCUUGAUGCUAAGCUUUAAGACUUUAUCCGCUUGUUGUUUAGUUUUCUUGUCUUUGUGAAUGCACUUUUCGUGGAACAAGUCAACAUCAAUUCCUUUUGCUGUAAAAGGGUAAGAGGAUGGUGGCCUCGGCUUCGGUUGAAGUGUUUAUAGCCUUUUAUCUCUGCAGUCGGAGAGACUGAGGUCUGCAGCGUAGACUCCUUCGGGGUUAGGAUACAGUUGGUGCUAAGCUACUAGCUUUUCAUAGACAACUUGUUGACUAUGUUUAGUCAUUGUGACUUACCCGCUGGAUGCUAUUUUACCUACGCUUAGGAUGUUGAGCGCAUGUCUCUCUCU
rnacentral:rRNA from 1 species